rnacentral:rRNA from 1 species
GAUCCUGGCUCAGGAUGAACGCUGGCGGCGUGCUUAACACAUGCAAGUCGAACGGUGAAGCCAAGCUUGCUUGGUGGAUCAGUGGCGAACGGGUGAGUAACACGUGAGCAACCUGCCCUGAACUCUGGGAUAAGCGCUGGAAACGGCGUCUAAUACUGGAUAUGAGCUGCGGAGGCAUCUUCGUGGUUGGAAAGAUUUUUCGGUUUGGGAUGGGCUCGCGGCCUAUCAGCUUGUUGGUGAGGUAAUGGCUCACCAAGGCGUCGACGGGUAGCCGGCCUGAGAGGGUGACCGGCCACACUGGGACUGAGACACGGCCCAGACUCCUACGGGAGGCAGCAGUGGGGAAUAUUGCACAAUGGGCGGAAGCCUGAUGCAGCAACGCCGCGUGAGGGAUGACGGCCUUCGGGUUGUAAACCUCUUUUAGCAGGGAAGAAGCGGAAGUGACGGUACCGUGCAGAAAAAGCGCCGGCUAACUACGUGCCAGCAGCCGCGGUAAUACGUAGGGCGCAAGCGUUAUCCGGAAUUAUUGGGCGUAAAGAGCUCGUAGGCGGUUUGUCGCGUCUGCUGUGAAAUCUGGGGGCUCAACCCCCAGCCUGCAGUGGGUACGGGCAGACUAGAGUGCGGUAGGGGAGAUUGGAAUUCCUGGUGUAGCGGUGGAAUGCGCAGAUAUCAGGAGGAACACCGAUGGCGAAGGCAGAUCUCUGGGCCGUAACUGACGCUGAGGAGCGAAAGGGUGGGGAGCAAACAGGCUUAGAUACCCUGGUAGUCCACCCCGUAAACGUUGGGAACUAGUUGUGGGGUCCAUUCCACGGAUUCCGUGACGCAGCUAACGCAUUAAGUUCCCCGCCUGGGGAGUACGGCCGCAAGGCUAAAACUCAAAGGAAUUGACGGGGACCCGCACAAGCGGCGGAGCAUGCGGAUUAAUUCGAUGCAACGCGAAGAACCUUACCAAGGCUUGACAUACACGAGAACGCUGCAGAAAUGUAGAACUCUUUGGACACUCGUGAACAGGUGGUGCAUGGUUGUCGUCAGCUCGUGUCGUGAGAUGUUGGGUUAAGUCCCGCAACGAGCGCAACCCUCGUUCUAUGUUGCCAGCACGUAAUGGUGGGAACUCAUGGGAUACUGCCGGGGUCAACUCGGAGGAAGGUGGGGAUGACGUCAAAUCAUCAUGCCCCUUAUGUCUUGGGCUUCACGCAUGCUACAAUGGCCGGUACAAAGGGCUGCAAUACCGCGAGGUGGAGCGAAUCCCAAAAAGCCGGUCCCAGUUCGGAUUGAGGUCUGCAACUCGACCUCAUGAAGUCGGAGUCGCUAGUAAUCGCAGAUCAGCAACGCUGCGGUGAAUACGUUCCCGGGCCU